rnacentral:lncRNA from 1 species
UGUUAGGGGAGAUUUUGACAGUACAAGGACCAACUGUGCCUUUCCUGUCUUGGAGCUGAGAGAGGAAGGAUCUGAUCUCUGCCGAUCCUGUUUCACUAAGCCUCAAAGGAGAUCCUGUGAGAUGAGUACCAGAGGUAGAGGCUACCUGGAUCUUUCUGGUUGGAGUUUAUUAGCAGCAAGGAGACAGAUCCCAGAGAUACUUCUCCAGUUUAUUUUACAAAUGAGGAAACUGAAGCAAACAGGAUAAAGUGAUUUGCCCAAAAUUACACAGCUACUAAGAGAAGAAACUGGCUCAUCUACUAGAUAAUAUCCUUCAGUCGAAAGAACCUUCAUGUUUCUGGAAAACCGCUCUCCAAGGAAUCUAGAUUUGGAUAACAAAUUGGUCAUUCAAUAGCCACUGAUUCAAAUGUCCCAAAGUUAGGUAGUAAAAGAGGUUGAUAGCAUGGUAGCAAAUCUUUAGAGAGAUAAUGCAAAAGAAAUCAAUUUCCUAAAAAUAAAACAGCUGCUACAGCCCA